rnacentral:rRNA from 1 species
AUUGAACGCUGGCGGCAGGUCUAACACAUGCAAGUCGAGCGGUCUCUUCCCUUCUUUGUUUACUUUGUCUUCUCUCUUUGGACGGGUGAGUAAUGUCUGGGAAACUGCCUGAUGGUGUUUUUUGACUACUAGAAACGGUAGCUAAUUUUUUAUGAUGUCGCAAGACCAAAGAGGGGGACUUUGGUGCCUCUUGCCAUCAGAUGUGCCCAGAUGGGAUUAGCUAGUAGGUGGGGUAAUGGCUCACCUAGGCGACGAUCCCUAGCUGGGCUGAGAGGAUGACCAGCCACACUGGAACUGAGACACGGUCCAGACUCCUACGGGAGGCAGCAGUGGGGAAUAUUGCACAAUGGGCGCAAGCCUGAUGCAGCCAUGCCGCGUGUAUGAAGAAGGCCUUCGGGUUGUAAAGUACUUUCAGCGGGGAGGAAGGUGUUGAGGUUAAUAACCUCAGCAAUUGACGUUACCCGCAGAAGAAGCACCGGCUAACUCCGUGCCAGCCGCCGCAGUAA